rnacentral:rRNA from 1 species
GACGAACGCUGGCGGCGUGCUUAACACAUGCAAGUCGAGCGGUAAGGCCCUUUCGGGGGUACACGAGCGGCGAACGGGUGAGUAACACGUGGGUGACCUGCCCUCAGCUCUGGGAUAAGCCCGGGAAACUGGGUCUAAUACCGGAUAUGACUUCAUGACGCAUGUUGUGGAGUGGAAAGCCUUGUGCGGCUGAGGAUGGGCCCGCGGCCUAUCAGCUUGUUGGUGGGGUGANGGCCUACCAAGGCGACGACGGGUAGCCGGCCUGAGAGGGCGACCGGCCACACUGGGACUGAGAUACGGCCCAGACUCCUACGGGAGGCAGCAGUGGGGAAUCUUGCGCAAGUGGG